UGGAGAGUGUGUGUGUGUGUGUGUGUGUGUUUGUGUGUGUGUGUGUGAAUGAGUGAGAGAGAGAGACAGACAGACAGAAAGCAAGCAAGCUGUGGAGCAGUUGACAUGGGCUGAAGAGUAGAAAACUCAAGUCACUUUGGCCCAUCACAGUGGGGAUGCUACCUCCAGGCUAAAUUUAGUCCCAUAUUCCCACUGAACUUCCAAACGGGAACCCUUCCCAAAUUCUGGUGGUGCAAAAUGAAAAGAUGCUCUUUGAUGAAAGACCACAUCCAUUGGCAGGAGAAGAGGGGGCAUGGGGUGGUUUGCUCCAGGAGGGCUCAAUGACCCCAUGAGCUCUUGAUGGAUGGAUGGAUGGGAGUUCUGAUUUCUGUCCUGUAGAACUUCCUCUUCCCUUCCAGCUUUGCCUUAGCGAUGUCCCAAGCUUUCCUUCGGCACCUUUGGGUUCCUAUUCUGGUUGCCUCUAACACUUGCACUGGACCUGUGAAAGAAGUGUGUAUUCUAACCACUCAUCCCUUAACAUAACAGGCACAUACACACUUGUUUCUCUCGCUCCCGUUAGCGGAACGUCAUUUUAAAAAUGUCAGAAUUUUGUGUGCGUGUGUGCAUGUACACUUGUUUUAUUUUUUUUCUUCCUCUCUCCGAUUAAUAAAAUGCUCGAUCGUUACUUAACAAGGCUG